rnacentral:rRNA from 2 species
UUAGGGCAAGUCUGGUGCCAGCAGCCGCGGCAAUUCCAGCUCCAAUAGCGUAUAUUAAAGUUGUUGCAGUUAAAAAGCUCGUAGUUGAACUUCGGAAUCAAUGGAUUGGUCAUGCCGUUGGUAUGUACUGGUCAUAUUGGUUCUCACCUUCUAAGGAACCAUAAUGUCAUUCAUUUGAUGUUUUGGGGAAUUAGGACUGUUACCUUGAAAAAAUUAGAGUGUUUAAAGCAGGCUAACGCUUGAAUACAUUAGCAUGGAAUAAUGAAAUAGGACAUCGCAUUCUAUUUUGUUGGUUUCUAGGACCGAUGUAAUGAUUAAUAGGGAUAGUUGGGGGCAUUAGUAUUCAAUUGUCAGAGGUGAAAUUCUUGGAUUUAUUGAAGACUAACUACUGCGAAAGCAUUUGCCAAGGAUGUUUUCAUUAAUCAAGAACGAAAGUUAGGGGAUCGAAGACGAUCAGAUACCGUCGUAGUCUUAACCAUAAACUAUGCCGACUAGGGAUCGGAUGAUGUUGAUUUUUUAAUGAAUCAUUCGGCACCUUACGGGAAAC